GGAUAACCUACCCUUAGGACCGGGAUAACCUUGGGAAACUGAGGAUAAUACUGGAUAGGCAAUUAUUCCUGGAAUGGUUUUUUGUUUAAAUGUUUUUUCGCCUAAGGAUGGGUCUGCGGCCGAUUAGGUAGUUGGUUAGGUAACGGCUUACCAAGCCAUUGAUCGGUACGGGUUGUGAGAGCAAGAGCCCGGAGAUGGAACCUGAGACAAGGUUCCAGGCCCUACGGGGUGCAGCAGGCGCGAAACCUCCGCAAUGUGAGAAAUCGCGACGGGGGGAUCCCAAGUGCCAUUCUUAACGGGAUGGCUUUUCAUUAGUGUAAAGAGCUUUUGGAAUAAGGGCUGGGCAAGACCGGUGCCAGCCGCCGCGGUAACACCGGCAGCUCUAGUGGUAGCAGUUUUUAUUGGGCCUAAAGCGUCCGUAGCCGGUUUAAUAAGUCUCUGGUGAAAUCCUGUAGCUUAACUGUGGGAAUUGCUGGAGAUACUAUUAGACUUGAGACCGGGAGAGGUUAGAGGUACUCCCAGGGUAGAGGUGAAAUUCUGUAAUCCUGGGAGGACCGCCUGUUGCGAAGGCGUCUAACUGGAACGGUUCUGACGG
rnacentral:rRNA from 1 species